rnacentral:rRNA from 1 species
GUCUUAUUGAAUUUAAAAUAAUAAGUUUGUUCUGCCCAUUGAAUUAAAUAUUUUAAAAGGCUGCAGUAAUUUAACUGUACAAAGGUAGCAUAAUCAAUAGUUUUUUAAUUGAAAACUUGAAUGAAAGAAUUGAUAAAAUAUUAGUUGUCUCAAAUUUAAAUAAUUGAAUUUAUAUUUAAAGUUAAAAUUCUUUAAUUAAUUUAUUAGACGAUAAGACCCUAAGAAUUUUAUAAUUUAUUUAUUAUUUAUUAAAUUAGUUUAAUUUAAAAUUUAUAAGUUAAUUAUUUUAUUGGGAGGGUAAUUAAAAAUUUAAACUUUAAUUAAAUUUAAACUUUGAUAAAUGAGUUUAAUGAUUAUUAUUAUAGUUAUUAGAAUAAAUUACCUUAGGGAUAACAGCGUAAUAAUUUUGGAAAGUUCAUAUUGAUAAAAUUGGUUGCGACCUCGAUGUUGAAUUAAAAUAAAAAUUAAAUGGAGAAGUUUAAGGUUUUAGUCUGUUCGACUAUUAAAAUUUUACAU